UAGGGAAUCUUCCACAAUGGACGAAAGUCUGAUGGAGCAACGCCGCGUGAGUGAAGAAGGGUUUCGGCUCGUAAAACUCUGUUGUUAAAGAAGAACAUAUCUGAGAGUAACUGUUCAGGUAUUGACGGUAUUUAACCAGAAAGCCACGGGCUAAACUACGUGCCAG
rnacentral:rRNA from 1 species